AAAAAAAAAAGGAAGCUAAGUGUUAUAACUUUUUUGUUGAACUUAUAUAGGCUGAGCUUGUCAGCCCACAAGACUGCAACAUGGACUCCAUAUUUUCUUCAUAGAUCAUAAUAUAUGUCGUCAGAUCAAAGAAUAAUCAUUGCAUGACCGACUGGUAUGCUAUCUCACAAUGUUGUGAAAUUCAUAAUUUAUAUUGCUUAAUUCACAUAUGUUAAAGUAACCAGGAAAUAUAUAAAUGGCUAUAACAUAUUGCUAGUUUCAGACCACAUACAACUAGAAAAGUAG
rnacentral:misc_RNA from 1 species